rnacentral:lncRNA from 1 species
CCUGUAUUAGGUUGGUACCAUUGUACUUGGAUCUUACCUGUCAUUGACUACCAGUCCAGCAUACACCCAUACUUGUGGAUAGGCCUUUGCACCAGUGGGGGGUGAGGUUCUUGCCUCAACUCUGUUGGCCCCCAAAUUUGGCCUUUGCACCAGUGGGGGGGGUGAGGUUCUUUGCCUCACCUCUGUUGGCCCCCAAAUUUUAUACCAUCACAAGCAGAAGGGAGGAGGAUGCAAAAUGCCAUGACACCAAGCCAAAUGACGGUUUCUUUUUGGAAAAAUUGUACCACCAAUGACACCAUCAGCAAAGAUACCCCAGCACUACCACAAUUCACUGCACCAACAGAUAGUUCACAAUGCAUACAAGUGAUACAUAGUCCAGGCAAGUUCUGCAAGCAAUUCAAAGCAGACGAAUCCAUUAAUAUGUCCAUUUCCUCCCAAAGUAAAUCGACUCCUUGAUUGAGCAUUACUUGUUGAGUUAUUAUUCACUGAUGCAUCAGUUUAUACAGUUUGUUGUAAUAGCUAUCGUAGAAGCUGUAGUUUGGUUUUAUCUUUGUCUUCACCA